CCCAGCGCCCCCCUCCGCCCCGCCUCCCUCCUAGGUGAAGGAAGAUGAUUUCCCCCCCCCAUCUUGACCGCCCCCUGCCUUCGCUGCCAAGCACGGACUCCGCCUGCUCCAGCCGACCCGGUACCAGUGGUUGGAUCCAAGAGAAUUCCGGAACCCAAACGGUCUAUUACCGCGGCUCCGGGGUAAUAGGCACGCCUGCGUGAUUCUUGCCCCCUACUGGUGGCGCGUCCCACUGGCCUUGAGCUGAAAGAAACACUUGGAGUUGAAGGUGUGAGCUCUUCAAGAGAACCGUAGAGGGAAAAGGGGGAGGGGAAAAAAAGUAGUCGUGUUAAGAAGAUUAUGAACCUUCCAGCUCGGCGUCUGUAUACAUAAGCUCCAGGGAACUCGGAAGCCUGCUAUGCACAGAGCUGCUCUGGUUGGAUGUGCAUUCUAGAAGAAUCACUCUGGAAGCAAUGUAGCAGAUGGAUCUAAGAACUGGACCGCAGGCCGCACGAGACUCAAGGAAAGACAACACAAGAGUAUGAAUGGAGGGGGUGCACCUGGCUGGCUCAGAUUCCCCGGAUCCUCUCCUGGUGACAAAACGUAACCCUAGCUGACAAAGGAGCAAUAUGGUUCGCAGCCCCAGCGUUGCGGAACAGAAUAGGGAAAACUGGAUUUGGAGGUGAGAGGCCAGCCCAGCCUUCAAGGGCCUCUGUGAUCUAGCACCAGCCUCCGUCAAUAGCCUGAUUCCUUCCAUUCUUCCCACCAUGUGCUCAAUUCCAGUCACACUGGGUGUCUUUUUCUUUCCCAGACACACUAAGCUCAUUCCCGCCCCAGACAUUCACACAUGCUAUUCCCUUUCCCCAGAAGUACCUUUUCCCCCUUGGGUCAUAUUCAUUUAGGGUAUAACUUAAAGCCACCAACGAAAGAGGAUUUCUCUGACUUCAUCAAAUCUACAAAAGCAACCCUCUCCCCACUCACGUUCCAUAAAAUUCCCCCAUUUUCAUUUUACUCAUAGCAUUAAUCUCUAUUUAAGAUUAUCCUUUUUUUUUUU